AUGACUCCUGAACAUGAUCUAAUUAUUGAUUUUUGGAAAAGAAUGGUGUUCUCCAGUACUGUUCAUCCUCUUUUGGUGUUCCAAUAUGUAUGCAGCAAUUUGACUGAUUCGAGUGGCAUCCAAGGGAAUUUAUUAAUGUGCACAUAUUCAUUUGGUCCAUAUCUCAAAUUAACAAAAAGCCACGCUCAAGCAGCACCACCUGCAUAUGGGAGUGUCCCUAAUACCCUGGUUAUUGCAACUUGUGAAAUUGUCAAGCCACGGCUUGCAGCUGCAGAGCACAUAUCACAGUUCAAUGAGGAUGCACGAUCACCUUUUGUAAAGAAAUACAAGACUAUCAUUCACUCAGGAGAGGUAAUAAUUUGUCCUAUAUGCGUCCUAACUUGCAACUACUCCCUCCGUUCGGAAUUACUUGUCGCAGAAAUGGAUGUAUCUAGAUGUAUUUUAGUUCUAGAUACAUUCAUAUCCGAGACAAGUAAUUCUGAACGGAGGGAGUAUAUAGUAUCUAAGUUAUCUUCUUUACAUGUUGUUUACUCUAUUUUUUACUUCCCAUGCACUAUGGAUUUGAGGGUAUAUGCAUAUUUAUGUUCCGGAGGUAAGUCAUAUGCAGAUUUUACUACUGACCAUGAUGGUCGACUUGCUUUUUUUCCUUUUGCUGAAUUCCACAAUAAUUUCCUCUAUACUUCCCUUUGUGUAAGUGUUCCAUGUAAACUUUAG
rnacentral:rRNA from 1 species